rnacentral:rRNA from 1 species
GUGAGGUAACGGCUCACCAAGGCAUCGACGGGUAGCUGGUCUGAGAGGACGAUCAGCCACACUGGGACUGAGACACGGCCCAGACUCCUACGGGAGGCAGCAGUAGGGAAUCUUGCACAAUGGGCGAAAGCCUGAUGCAGCGACGCCGCGUGGGGGAUGAAGGCCUUCGGGUUGUAAACCCCUUUCAGUAGGGACGAAAAUGACGGUACCUACAGAAGAAGUUCCGGCCAACUACGUGCCAGCAGCCGCGGUAACACGUAGGGAACAAGCGUUGUCCGGAUUUAUUGGGCGUAAAGAGCUCGUAGGUGGUUCGGUAAGUCGGAUGUGAAAACUCAGGGCUCAACCCUGAGACGCCAUCCGAUACUGCUGUGACUUGAGUACGGUAGAGGAGUGUGGAAUUCCUGGUGUAGCGGUGAAAUGCGCAGAUAUCAGGAGGAACACCGACAGCGAAGGCAGCACUCUGGGCCGAUACUGACACUGAGGAGCGAAAGCAUGGGGAGCAAACAGGAUUAGAUACCCUGGUAGUCCAUGCCGUAAACGUUGGGCACUAGGUGUGGGGAUUUAUCAACGAUCUCCGCGCCGUCGCUAACGCAUUAAGUG